AGGCUGGACCCAGCCAGCCUCAAGGAGGGAAGAGAGGGACAUCAUGGUGGCGCUGGACUCCCUGCAGGGGCUCUGCAGAGGCAGAAGAUGAACAGUAAGAUGCAAAGAUCUGGCAACCUUCAGAGCUGGCAUCUCACAGAGAAGAUACUUGGAUGGGCCACAGGCCAAAACUGGGCCAAAACCCUGGAGAGGGGGACCUGGCUCAAGGCCACACCACAUUUCCAUGUCAUUUUCCAGUGGCACCAACUGAGCUGGACAGAUGUUCUCACAGAGCUACACAUGCCACAGUCAUCACUAGUUGCGAGAGUCUCCAGUGUUCAUUAAGCCUAUUUUGCUGGAAGUUUAGUCCCUGGAGGAUUAGUCCCUGCCCUUAAGGAGUGCCAAAGAAGACUUUGGAAUCUAAGUCACAUCUCCCCUGCUGCAAUUUUUUCCUCUUGAUAAUCAAGGAAUCUCACUGAUAAAACUCUCAAUGAGGAGCAGCUCUCCCCAUGAGCAAGUUCUUGCCUUCAUUGCCAGGGAGGCCCCAGCUAAGGUUAUACUGGGAAAGGAAUCUCUGGGGAGUACCUGGAAGAGGUCAGCUUCUCCUCAAAGGAAGCCUCUCCAGCUGGUGUACUGCAAAGCCUUCCAAGACCAAGUUCCCUCUUCCUGGCCUCUGGAACCAGCCUGUGUGCCAGCGCUGUGUCCCCAGUAACACACAUGAGUCUCUCCCUCAGAAGCCACAGAAGGAUGCAGAGAGAGACCAACCCAGGAUUGAUUCUCAGCACUUACUAAUUGUGUGGACAUAACUGCUCUGGACCUCAGCUUUGCUAUCUAUAAAAUGAGCACCCUUUUUAUAGAUAUGAACACUUUAAGAGAGUCAUAAAGAUUGAAGUUGAUUUGUGCUGCGCCUGGCACAGAGGUCUCCCUCAGUAAAUGGCAGCCACUGCUAUUGGGGUGCCCCAACACCCCUUGCCCCUGCCCACCAUUAGCUUUCACUUAGGCCCACACUGAGGGUGUGGCUGUUGUGUUGGGGGAAGGAAAAAAACCAUGCCUGGGUUGCAGGGCCCCCACCACCAACUGGUCUGCUUUUGUGGGAAGCAUUUUCUGAUGCCCUCGCCCUACCCGUGGGCUGGUUGACUAAGUGUCCAGCAUCAUGAGGAAAAGAGCAGGGUUCAGGGACAGCUUGGCUCAGCCCUGAAACUCAUCUGGGCCUAGGUCCAGAUGAGAGGCAAGCCUGGGAGGCCUUCCGUUGUACCCUUGCCUAUCCUGCAGCACCCUCUAGCCUGCAGGCCGCUCCUGGGUGGCAUAGCACCUUGGAUGUCAGGUGUGGGCCUUCCCAGGCACAUGGCAUGAGGGGGCACUUCUGUGGGUUGUUGGGGGCAGGAAGGGAUGUGUCUCCAGCUGGACUUGGGCUCUCGCAUUUUGGGGCCCAGCCAUGCCAGGACAGCACACAUGGGCGCUUAGUGCGAAUCUCAUGAUGGAGCAGAGGAGGAGCAAAGCAAAACCAGGGAGUCCCCAGGCCCCUGCUUCUGCCCCGCCCAGAGACAGUGGAGCAGGUGUCUCCAGCUUCUUAACCUCAACGCACAGUAAGAAAUACAUUUUACAGCAACCAAUAGACACAUACAUUUACAAAACGA
rnacentral:lncRNA from 1 species